GACGGACGCUGGCGGCGUGCUUAACACAUGCAAGUCGUACGGUAAGGCCCUUUCGGGGGUACACGAGUGGCGAACGGGUGAGUAACACGUGAGUAACCUGCCCACAACUUUGGGAUAACGCUAGGAAACUGGUGCUAAUACUGGAUAUGUGCUCCUGCUGCAUGGUGGGGGUUGGAAAGCUCCGGCGGUUGUGGAUGGACUCGCGGCCUAUCAGCUUGUUGGUGGGGUAGUGGCCUACCAAGGCGGCGACGGGUAGCCGGCCUGAGGGGGUGACCGGCCACAUUGGGACUGAGAGACGGCCCAGACUCCUACGGGAGGCAGCAGUGGGGAAUAUUGCAGAAUGGGCGCAAGCCUGAUGCAGCAACGCCGCGUGCGGGAUGACGGCCUUCGGGUUGUAAACCGCUUUCAGCAGGGACGAAGCUUUUUGUGACGGUACCUGCAGAAGAAGCACCGGCUAACUACGUG
rnacentral:rRNA from 1 species